CUCGUUUCUCAUUUUCAUAAGCACUUUGCAAUGCCGUCCAGAUUUCGCUUGAAGACUUCAAAUUUUGAUACAGAUCAUAGAGACGAUCUGUUAAUGUUUUCAUAAUAUUUCUCCGGCACAACAAUUCAUCAUCUUCCCGUUUCUUACUUGUUGCUUUCACUUCAUCAGAAUCCUCUGCAGUCGGAUCUGGCACAGCAGGAAAUUGUGGAUCGAGAACAUAAAAAAUCUUUAGAGCAGUCAGUAGGAAAAUCAUCUUGUCCUUCCAGUGAGUAAAGUUUGAUCCAUCAAAACGAUCGAGUUUGAUGAAAUUUUUUUGGAUUUUCAACAGCAGACAGAAUGUUUUUCAUAGCAGAUUAACUUCUUUAAGAUUGUUAGAAAUAAUAAUCGAAAAACUAAAUUGAUGAAGGCUUGAGGGAUGAGAACGACUUUCCUUAAAGAAUUUAUUGCCCGUAUACAGAUUUGGGAAAAAU
rnacentral:lncRNA from 1 species